rnacentral:lncRNA from 1 species
CCUGGAACUUCACCCUGCAGCUCUCGUGGCCAUUGGACGUCAUCUUCGGGGUCGGGGAGGACGACCGAAGCACCUUCUGUAAGCAUAAGGUCAAAUUCGAAUAGGUUUAUUUCUGGUUCAUACCUAGUUCUAGUCGGUUUAGGAGUUGUACAGGGGAAUCAACGAGUUGGUCUCCUAGUCGUAUUCAGUUAGGCUGUUAGAUGUUGAGUCGGACUGGCCUCUGGCCGUGUAUAAGUACGGGCAUACGGUGCCUUGUUAUCCUAAUCCCAGAAAAUAAGAAAAAUAAAGCAGGCUCGACACGGGCCUGUAGCCAUACCAAAAUCAAUAUUCUCCUGUGUGUGCGUGACGCGAGUAGUACUGGUACUAGCUUGCUAAUCGAUUUGCUUGCUGGGCAGUUUUGUACGUGUGCGUCUCGCCAGAGUUCAUCGGCUGGCCGGAAAGUACUCGACGUGUGCGUUGCUUGUUGUUACUGUGUGACAGAGAUUUUGGGCUGAUUUCCAACAUUUGGUAUCAGAGCCAAGGUUAAUCCGGCAAAACGGUCCCUAGUACACGGGAGCUAUGCCGACGGAUGCGGGGACGUCGGGAGCCGCGGCUGGAAGGAACUCAGCACCGGCGACGUUUCCAAGGCUCGAUCGCAGCGACUACAGCAUGUGGGCAAUGAAGAUGGAGGUGGCUAUGGAAUCUCAAGAGAUCUGGGACGCAGUCGACCCUGGUGGCAACACGUACGCCAAAGGAGCGGCGAACUAUCGCAUUGAUCGCCUGGCGUUGGCGGCCAUCCAUGCGGCUGUGCCGAACGAUGUGCUACAACACCUGAAGGGAAAGAAAUCUGCGAAGGAUGCAUGGGAUACGAUCAAGACCCUACAUCAAGGACACGAGCGUGUCCGGGAGGCAAACCUUCAAACCUUGCUGAAGAAUUAUGAGAGUUUGAAGAUGGGAGAAGACGAGGCGGUCGACGCGUUCGCAGCGCGUGUAAGGACGCUCGUUAACGGGAUCCGCGACCUAGGCGAGACACUCUCCGAGAUCUCCGUGGUUAGGCGGUUCCUACGCGCGGCAUCACCAAAGUAUAUCCAGAUCGUAACCUCAAUCGAGCAGUGUGUCGAUCUGAAGACCCUCACGGUGGAGGACUUGGUGGGGCGCUACAAGGCGCACGAUGAACGACUCCGGAUGGUGUUUGGAGACGGCAAAGAUGACGAGCAUCUGAUGAUGACCCGUGCGCAGUGGUUUGCUAUGGCCGCAAGGAAAACUGGCGAUUCGUCAUCGUCCAGUGGAAGAAGAGAUCAAGCUAAAGGAGGAGGUCGAGCACAAGCAAAGAAAGCUCCUCAAGGUACCGAGGAGAAAGGUGCGGCCCCCAAGAAAAAGUUUGAUCGCAAGAAGGUUAGGUGCCACAACUGUGGAAUAUACGGGCACUUCAAGUCAGAGUGCCGAAAGCCACAGAAAGAGAAAGCAUAUAUGGCCAGGGAAGAAGAUGAUGAUCCGGCGCUGCUGAUGGUAGAGAUGUGCGAGCUGAUGGAAGAAGGUCAAGAGGAAGUCAUCGAGGAGAAGUCUGAGUCCGUAACCUUGUUGAAAAGAAAGUCUACCUACAUGAUAAAGCAAGAGUGAAGGCGGGCAAUGUGUGGUACCUUGACACGGGCGCUAGCAAUCACAUGACUGGCGACAAAACCCAAUUCGCAGAGCUUAACCUAGCCGUGGGUGGCUCGGUGCGUUUUGGAGAUGGUUCCACAGUGGCGAUACAAGGGCGAGGCACAGUUCUUUUCGAGACAAGAUUUGGCGAUCACAAGGUACUAACCGACGUAUAUUAUAUCCCCAAGCUGAAAAGCAAUAUAAUCAGUCUUGGUCAACUCGAGGAAAGGGGAUGUAAAAUCGUGUUAGAGGAUGGGUACCUGUGGGGCUACGACCGACAACGCAAGCUACUGAUGAAGGUCAAGAGGGCAAAGAAUCGCUUGUAUAUUCUUGACCUAGACAGAACAGAGCCGAUCUGUUUGCUAGCUGGUCUUGAUGAUCCAGCAUGGAGGUGGCACGCUCGCUAUGGGCACUUGAAUUUUCACUCGCUUCGACAACUCGGCCAGAAGGACAUGGUGGUUGGGAUGCCGACGGUGGAUCAUGUUGAACAAGUGUGCGAUGGAUGCCUAGUAGGGAAGCAACGGCGAGCGCCGUUUCCCAGAGAAGCAAAGUACCGGGCAGAGAAGGUACUAGAUUUGUUUCACGGUGAUCUGUGUGGCCCAGUUUCACCUGCAACCCCAGCCGGCAAUCGCUAUUUUCUACUUGUGGUAGAUGACUACAGUCGGUACAUGUGGGUUGUGCUGCUUAAAACGAAAGCUCAAGCGUUUCAAGCAUUCAAGACGAUCAAGAUUGCUGUUGAAGUAGAAGCAGAGGCAAAGUUGAAGGCUUUCCGGACUGACCGAGGAGGAGAAUUCAUCUCACAUGAGUUUGCUGCAUAUUGUGAGGAACAUGGCAUCAAGCGUUUUCUGACAGCCCCAUACACACCGCAGCAAAACGGUGUUGUUGAAAGAAGGAACCAAACCGUGGUAGCAAUGGCUCGAAGCAUGAUGAAGAGCAAAGGCUUGCCGGGGAGGUUUUGGGGAGAAGCGGUGACUACAGCGGUAUACUUGCUAAACCGUGCACCGACAAAAAGUGUCAUUGGCAUGACACCCUAUGAAGCUUGGUGUGGAAGAAAACCUUCGGUCGAUCACCUUCGUACUUUUGGGUGCAUGGCACAUGUGAAGAAUGUUUCUGGACAUGUGGGAAAGCUGGAAGAUCGGAGUAAGCCGAUGAUCUUGAUGGGUUAUGAAGCAGGCUUGAAGGGACACUCGAAGGCUUAUCGUGUGUACGAUCCACGAACAAGAAAAGUUCACGUGGCACGCGACGUCGUCUUUGAAGAAGAGAGGGCAUGGGAUUGGUCCUCAAACAAAGAAGAGAAUCAACAAAAUUCGGAUGAUAUGUUUGUUGUAUCUUACCCUGUCCCUGAGCAUGCAGGUCAUAACCGUGGAGAAGGCCACGACCAUGACGCAGGUGGCGAAGAUCCACCAGGAACGCCACCGGGCCACGGCGCUACACCGGUGUUCAGCUUCAGUAGAGCACCGGCCUCAUCCUCUGCCACGGCAGGAUCCGCGGCAGGAACAGCGGCAGGAAUCCCUCCCGCGGCAGGAUCCGCGGCAGAAAAUUCUGCCACGGCAGAAAUCGCGGCAGGAAGAUCUGCGUCUGCCACGACGCGAGAAACGGCAGAAAAUCCCUCUGCCGCGGCAGGAGCGAGUGAAGGGGAGGAUGCAGCAGCCGGCGGAGACGCUGAAACUUCUACCGCGGCAGCAACCUCUCAAAGGGCAUCGACGAUGGUACGAUCGCCGGUGCAGACUCGGUCACGGACUCGACGACCUACGCCCGAACGACUUAGACCUCUAUCGGAGUUGUACCCUUCUCCAAAGAAGAUGAUCCGCAAGACGAAGACGGUCAAGAUGAAGCGCACAACGAAGGAAAGGUGCUUGUUAAGUACCGAAGAACCAACCUCGUUUGAAGAAGCUAGCGAGAAAGAAAGUUGGCGCAUGGCAAUGGAGGAGGAGAUGGGAUCAAUCCAAGAUAACAAGACAUGGAGCUUGGUUGAUCUCCCUGCAGGGCAUAAACCCAUAGGCCUCAAGUGGGUAUUCAAAGUGAAGAAAGACUCCAAUGGCAAUGUGGUAAAGCACAAAGCACGCUUGGUAGCAAAGGGCUAUGUGCAGCAACAAGGCGUUGAUUUUGAGGAAGUGUUCGCUCCAGUCGCAAGGAUGGAAUCGGUACGGUUGUUGAUUGCUUUGGCCGCUCAAGAAUCCUGGAAGCUACAUCAUAUGGAUGUGAAAUCAGCAUUCUUGAACGGUGACCUACAAGAAGAAGUAUAUGUACAACAACCUCCAGGUUUCGUCGAAGGGGGGGCGGAACAUAAGGUGUUGCGACUGCACAAGGCAUUGUAUGGGCUACGGCAAGCACCGAGGGCAUGGAACACCAAGCUGGAUGCUACACUGGUGUCCCUCGGAUUUGAGAAGAGUCCAUUGGAGCAUGCUAUGUACAAACGAGGUGAAGGGAAGGAACGGCUCCUAGUUGGAGUAUAUGUUGAUGAUCUGUUGAUCACGGGUGCAGAUGAGAGGGAGAUUGCAAGAUUUAAGAAGCAGAUGCUAGAUCUUUUCAAGAUGAGUGACCUUGGUUUGUUGAGCUACUACCUCGGGAUAGAAGUAUGUCAGCGAGGAGACUCAAUAACUUUGUGUCAAGAAGCUUAUGCGAGGAAAAUCCUUGAGAAGUGCGGCAUGGAAGACUGCAAUGCUACCUCAGCACCGAUGGAAGCAAGGCAUAAAUUGAGCAAACACAGCGAAGCAGAUCCUGUUGAAAGUACCGAAUAUAGAAGUAUUGUGGGAAGUCUGAGAUACUUGGUGAAUACAAGGCCAGAUUUGGCAUACUCGGUUGGGAUCGUUAGUCGAUUCAUGGAGAACCCCACAACGGAACACUUUGCAGCGGUGAAGAUGAUUUUGCGGUACAUCAAAGGAACCCUGAAUUAUGGGUGUGUUUACUCAAAGAAGAAAGAGGAGAAGACACAACUAGUCGGGUACAGUGACAGUGAUAUGGCCGGCGACGUUGAUGACCGUAAAAGUACUUCGGGCAUGGCGUUUUUCCUAGGUGGAAAUAUUGUGAGCUGGAUGUCACAGAAGCAGAAGGUUGUGGCUCUAUCCUCGUGUGAAGCUGAAUACAUUGCAGCAGCUACCGCAGCAUGCCAGGGAGUGUGGCUAGAGCGAUUGCUUGCUGAUCUACUAAACCGAGAACCAGAAAAGUUUGAGUUGAAGAUCGACAACAAGUCCACUAUAUCUCUGUGUAAGAAUCCGGUGUUUCAUGAUAGAAGUAAACAUAUCGACACCCGGUUUCAUUACAUACGAGGAUGCGUGGAAGAAGGCAAGCUUGAUGUUGAUUAUAUCAGUACAGAUGAACAACUGGCCGACAUAUUGACGAAGUCCCUCGGAAGACUGAAGUUUCAGGAGAUGAGGAAGAAGAUCGACGUCGACGUUAUCAAGUAGAAGUUCGUUUUGAUCUUAGGGGGAGAAUGUAAGCAUAAGGUCAAAUUCGAAUAGGUUUAUUUCUGGUUCAUACCUAGUUCUAGUCGGUUUAGGAGUUGUACAGGGGAAUCAACGAGUUGGUCUCCUAGUCGUAUUCAGUUAGGCUGUUAGAUGUUGAGUCGGACUGGCCUCUGGCCGUGUAUAAGUACGGGCAUACGGUGCCUUGUUAUCCUAAUCCCAGAAAAUAAGAAAAAUAAAGCAGGCUCGACACGGGCCUGUAGCCAUACCAAAAUCAAUAUUCUCCUGUGUGUGCGUGACGCG